rnacentral:rRNA from 1 species
UACGUAGGGGGCAAGCGUUGUCCGGAAUUAUUGGGCGUAAAGCGUGCGUAGGCGGCUAUUUAAGUCGGAUGUGAAAGCCCCGGGCUCAACCUGGGAGGUGCAUCCGAUACUGGGUAGCUAGAGUGUAGUAGAGGGAGGUGGAAUUUCCGGUGUAGCGGUGAAAUGCGUAGAGAUCGGAAGGAACACCAGUGGCGAAGGCGGCCUCCUGGACUAACACUGACGCUGAGGUACGAAAGCGUGGGGAUCAAACAGG